rnacentral:rRNA from 1 species
CUCGAGGAGGGGGAUAACAGCGGGAAACUGCUGCUAAUACCCCAUAUGCCGAAAGGUGAAAAGAAAUUUGCCUUGAGAGGGGCUCGCGUCCGAUUAGCUAGUUGGUGAGGUAAGAGCUUACCAAGGCGACGAUCGGUAGCUGGUCUGAGAGGAUGAGCAGCCACACUGGGACUGAGACACGGCCCAGACUCCUACGGGAGGCAGCAGUGGGGAAUUUUCCGCAAUGGGCGAAAGCCUGACGGAGCAACGCCGCGUGGGGGAAGAAGGCCUUUGGGUUGUAAACUCCUUUUCUCAGGGAAGAAGAACUGACGGUACCUGAGGAAUCAGCCUCGGCUAACUCCGUGCCAGCAGCCGCGGUAAUACGGAGGAGGCAAGCGUUAUCCGGAAUUAUUGGGCGUAAAGCGUUCGUAGGCGGCGUUUCAAGUCUGCUGUCAAAGGCCGAGGCUCAACUUCGGAAAGGCAGUGGAAACUGAAAAGCUAGAGGUCGGUAGGGGCAGAGGGAAUUCCCAGUGUAGCGGUGAAAUGCGUAGAUAUUGGGAAGAACACCGGUGGCGAAAGCGCUCUGCUGGGCCGAACCUGAUGCUCACGGGACGAGUAGCAACCGAGU